UCCUACGGGAGGCAGCAGUGGGGAAUAUUGGACAAUGGGCGCAAGCCUGAUCCAGCCAUACCGCGUGGGUGAAGAAGGCCUUCGGGUUGUAAAGCCCUUUUGUUGGGAAAGAAAUCCAGCCGGCUAAUACCUGGUUGGGAUGACGGUACCCAAAGAAUAAGCACCGGCUAACUUCGUGCCAGCAGCCGCGGUAAUACGAAGGGUGCAAGCGUUACUCGGAAUUACUGGGCGUAAAGCGUGCGUAGGUGGUCGUUUAAGUCCGUUGUGAAAGCCCUGGGCUCAACCUGGGAACUGCAGUGGAUACUGGGCGACUAGAGUGUGGUAGAGGGUAGCGGAAUUCCUGGUGUAGCAGUGAAAUGCGUAGAGAUCAGGAGGAAUAUCCAUGGCGAAGGCAGCUACCUGGACCAACACUGACACUGAGGCACGAAAGCGUGGGGAGCAAACAGGAUUAGAUACCCUGGUAGUCCACGCCCUAAACGAUGCGAACUGGAUGUUGGGUGCAAUUUGGCACGCAGUAUCGAAGCUAACGCGUUAAGUUCGCCGCCUGGGGAGUACAGUCGCAAGACUGAAACUCAAAGGAAUUGACGG
rnacentral:rRNA from 1 species